rnacentral:lncRNA from 1 species
CAGCAUUUGUCACACUGUUACUAGUGAGUAGUAGGCACUCAAUUAAACGAAUGAGUGGCUAUUCACCACCUGUCACUUCGUGCCCACUUAGUGCUGGGAGGAAGGAGUCAAUACCAAGGGCAGGGGCACCUGCCCUAUGGCUCAGUGUUUCUGGAAAGAUCAGGCUACUGCUGUCAUGUUCACCCCUGGCCUUCAGCUCUCAGCUGAAGAGGCACGUGGCCUGCUUCAACAAAAGCGUGGAAAACUUGACACUCAGGAGCGUUCAAAGCAACUUGUAACAAAUGGCAGUGAGGCGGAGCUCGUGGAGAGAGCUGUACAAAAAAAAAAUGUCUUGUGUGUAUGGCAAUGAGAGGAGGCAAAGUUGACCUCAGUACAUUAGUAGAAAGGACAAAGUGCUCUGGGACCGGCAACAGCCUGAGCAGGGUCGAGACAAAGAGCAGACAGAACUGCUGACAGCUGGCCGAGAAGUGUUAGAGUGGGUGUGCCACCAGCCCUGCCGGGGCAAGAACCCUGGCAGAAGCACCAAUGGGCAGGCGCUGGCAUCAGCAGCAGACAGAGAAAGGAGUGCUUUAAUGAAGAAAACCAUCACUGGGGCUGGAGAGAUGGUUCAAUG